CCGGGCCGCGAGCUGCGCGCUGCUGGCUCCCGGCCGCCGCCGGGUUUGUGCCGCGCGCCGACUCACCGAGCCGCCCGCCGAGUCCGCGUCUACACCCCCAUCCGACCCGAUUGGAUUUUUGGCGUCUGUCUAUACAGAGGUGGAGGGGAACAAUUCGCCGUCUUGAUUUCCAAAACAAACAAGCCCGGACAGGGGUGCUGGGCCCCGUGGAAACGACUCAACCCUGUUUUCCGUCACUUGCACCUGGCUCCCGGGUUGCCCUGGCCCUGCAAGCCGGGGUCCACGAAAAUGCGAUUUUAACAACUUUUAAAAUAAGAGAAAAAGCAAAUGUACCAAUGACGGAUGUAUAUUAAUGAAUCCAUCCUAAAUUAUAUUAGGUUUUAUAAAAACAGUAAAAUAUCACGUUUAAUAUUUUCUCAUGGACAAGACCCAGGAGACGAAAGUGCCUGCGACCCAGGAAGUUCAUGAUGCGGCUCGCUUGACCCAUUCCGCAUCGGGGAGACGCUCGGCCGGGGUCUGGUAUGGGGUUCGCAUGAGCGACCGCCCCUUAGUGCUGGCGGCUCCUUUGUGGGGGGUCGAGCCGGGAACCUCGGUGGGGUGCGCGCCCCACCUGCCGGGCACCGACGGGACUGCAGUCAGGGGCGGGGCCGGCGCCUGAGGCCGCCAGGUGGCGCCGUGUCCCCUGAAAACGACUUUCCCGGGUCAGACGGGGAAACUGAGGCCCGCGGAGGUAUUUUCUCCCCUGUGGCUCCUUCUGAAUGUUCUACGGUAGAAUUGCCAAACAAAUACCGGAUUCGCGGUUAAAUUUUAAGUGUAUCCUAAGUUUUGCACAGGACCUACUUAUACUAAAAAGUUUUUCAUUGUUUAUCGGAAAUUGAAAUUAGCCCCUUGCCCUACCCCAGACCCCCAGGGUUUAUCCCCAUCAGGUGACCCUGGGGCCCAUCCCACCCGCUCUCUCGGAUGGGCUGUGCUGGCAUAUGCCUGGUCCUGGCAGCUCGAAAGGCAAGACCCGUGGUAGUAAUGAUAUAAUAAACUGGAAAAGUCUCCACCUACCUUGGACCGUGUCCCUCUCUGCUUAGGAGCCUCCAUGGUUCCCAUCACCCUCAGGAAAGAUCUGGCUAUUCCUGCAGCUGGCAAUCUUCCCACUGCACUCUCCUCUGGCCCCGCAGGCCUUCUAGCUCUUUCUCACCAGAUGUUUCCUGCCCCAGGGCCUUUACACUGUCUGUGCUCCCCAUCUGUUGUGCUCUUCCCCCACCUCCGAGCUGCGUUCACAUUUCCCAGACUUGCCUGCUCCAGGAAGCCUUCCCGGACUCACCCCCACCAAGGUCAGGCUCCCAGUGACCCACGAGGGGCACACAUGUCUUUCUCAUGACCCUUUCUGCUGCUCUAACUCUGCAUCUCUCCAGGUAGUCUGCCCCUUCCGUCCAAGACCAGGCAGGGACUGUGUACAGGAAGCCCCUCCUCACUGCCGUGGCCCGACCCCCAGCGCAGAGCCUGGCACACGGGAGGGGCUCCGAAAACGAGGUCCAGCUAAAUGGGCCCCCAAACGACUCCUCUUCCUAGACCUCCCUUUCAGCCCUUCAACUUUGUGUGUUUUCCUGAGAUAAUCGUGAAUCCUGACGCAGAACUUCGCCAGGCUUCCCCCGACAGUGACAUUUUGUAACACUGCACUACGGUAUCACAACCAGGAUUUUGACGCUGAUGCGAUCCGCCCACCUUCUUUGGAUUUCCCCGUUUUGUGGGACAGGACUGUGCCAUCACGAGGGUCCCUCCUGCUGCCCCCCCCCCCAUCUCGCUCACCGGCCCUACCGCCCUCACCCCGGCAACCACCGGUCUCUUCUCCAUCCCCAUAACGCUCUCUCCUCCAGGUGCUGUUAGAACCACACGUGUCGUGUAACCUUGGGGGUUGCCUGAUUUUCCCCGCGUGAUUCUGGGAGAUGCGUCCGAGGGGCCGCGUGUCUGCCCCGCGCCCACAACUGUCUGCUGCUGAGUUGUGUCCCAUGGUGUGGGUGGGCGAGUGUGCUCGCCCACACGCGUGUCGUGGACGCCCGAGUUACCGCGUGUCGGCUGCCGCAGGUGAGCUAAGUGUGUGGGUUUUCUGUCCCGGAGCUUUUAUUUCUCUGACAUGAAUACCCCAGAGCCCCCUUCACCUUCUUUUUUUUUUUUUAAAAAACCGGUUUUCCUGCAGAAACUGUGCCACUCCCUCUGCACACACUUUCUCUCUUAACCCCCACAACACACUUGGUCAUUCAUCCCGCAAAUGUCUAAUCAGCCCGACCAUGUGCUGGGCGCUGGGGAUACGUGGGGGACCGCGUGAGACAGGCAGCCAGCAGGUACAACACAGGGACAUCAGAACCGUGAUGGGGGCAGCGCUGGGCGCAGAGAGCUCCAGGAAGGCUUCCCGGAGGAGGAGGAGGAGGAGGAGCCAGCUGAACUGAGAUUUGAUGGAUGAGUGAGGCACAGCUGGCACGACAGCCAGACCUGCAUGUGCAAAGGCCCAGAGGCCAGAGGGAUGGCAGCAGUUCAAGCAGCUGCAGAGAGAGGGGCCGUGCUGUUUCCAGAUAAGUUGGGAGCCCUGGAGCCCUCCCAGAGAUGGGCGGGGGUCCUGCGGGAGUGACUAAGCCUCAGCCGGCUGGGCUGUUGGGGGAAGGCUGAACUAAUCCUGCGCAGGCAGCCCCACCCAGGCGACAUCUGGGCGGGGCGGGGCUCUGACGGCUGGCAGCAAUCCGGGUGCAAACAGCGGUGUGGGGCUUCUGAGCCGGGGCCUCCAGGCUCUUCCUGGAACCUGCGCCAAAGGAUGAGCCUGACUUUCCGGGAGCACCAUGCGGCCAUGCGGGGAGGACGCCCAACACCCACACGGGCGGGGGGGGGGGCCCCGCCACUGCUCCGCCACUAGGCCUGCCAGGAAGGCCUUCUGGGGCCUUCCAGGUCCGGCCGCCAGGUGCGCCGGUCCAGCCCAGCCGAGCCCGGUUACUCGGCCGACCCGGGAGUGAGAAUCGGCGGCUCUUCUGUCUCCCUCCGCUGUGGGGCGCUUUCUCUAGGAGCUGUCCGUCCGAGCGUCCGGCGAGCGGCUCUGUGCGCGUGCUCCAGGGAGCACCUGUGCACUCCGUGACACCCGCCCUUUCCCCAGCCGGGACGCUGGACACUCACCGGGUAGCAGUAACACUACUUGACUUCAGCACUUUAAAAAUCGCACGCUGUUCACAUGUCCGUAUUUCUGAAAACGGGACGAAGCUUAUAACGUUACGAUCGCAAGGCAGUGUGCGAAAGACGUCCGUCGGUGCUUUGGGGGAACGUUCCAGAGAGUGCCAGUAUCAAAGUGUCUUCAAUUUCAGGAAAUACAGAAGCCCAGGCUCCACCUCCUCCUCGGCCCCGCCCCUGGGCUCCGCGGGCCCCUUCCCCAGCCCGCGCACCUGCUGCAUGUAGUUGACGAACUUGCACAUGAAGUCGCCC